AAUGUAUGGUGCGAGCAUUUUCUAAGCAUUUCCUUAAGUCUUUCCCAAUUCUCAUAAAUGAAUUCUCCUUCUAACUGAUUGAAAGAAGUUAUAUUAUUUCUAAGUUU